AUAGCCUGCUCUAUGAAAAUUUUUAAAUGGCCGCGGUAUUUUGACCGUGCGAAGGUAGCAUAAUCAUUAGUCUUUUAAUUGAAGGCUGGUAUGAAUGGCUGGACGAGAAAAUUUCUGUCUCUGUUAUAAAAUUUGAAUUUUAUUUUUAAGUGAAAAAGCUUAAAUUUUUUUGAGGGACGAUAAGACCCUUUGGAUCUUUAUAGUGAUGAUUAGUAAAAAGAUUGGGUGUAACAGCUUAUUACUUUAAAUUAUUGGGUUGGGGCGACCGGAAGAAAAAAAUAUCUCUUCUUAAUUAAUAUACUAUUAGUAGAAUUAAGAUGACCCUGAAUUUUGGUUUAAAAGACUAAGUUACCCUAGGGAUAACAGCGUAAUCUUUUUGGAGAGUUCUUAUCGAUGAAAAGGUUUGCGACCUCGAUGUUGGAUUAAGAUAUCCUUAUGGCGCAGCCGUUAUAGAGGAAAGUCUGUUCGACUUUUAAAUUCUU
rnacentral:rRNA from 1 species